ACCCCACAUAUCAACCACUGCAACCUACAGGAAACACAGAGAGGUGGUGAUAUCAAAACCCCACAUAUCAACCACUGCAACCUACAGGAAACACAGAGAGGUGGUGAUAUCAAAACCCCACAUAUCAACCACUGCAACCUACAGGAAACACAGAGAGGUGGUGAUAUCAAAACCCCACAUAUCAACCACUGCAACCUACAGGAAACACAGAGAGGUGGUGAUAUCAAAACCCCACAUAUCAACCACUGCAACCUACAGGAAACACAGAGAGGUGGUGAUAUCAAAACCCCACAUAUCAACCACUGCAACCUACAGGAAACACAGAGAGGUGGUGAUAUCAAAACCCCACAUAUCAACCACUGCAACCUACAGGAAACACAGAGAGGUGGUGAUAUCAAAACCCCACAUAUCAACCACUGCAACCUACAGGAAACACAGAAUUCAACUGUUGUUGGAAUAGUAGCUUAUCAUGUGUGAAAAAGAAACAAUAACAUAAUCCAUGAUGGAUGGAGGACCACACUGGAAAACAAGUCUAUUGACUUUAUUGUGUUUCCACCAGAGGCUAGAGGGAGGAGCUAUAGGAGGACGGGCUCAUUGUAUGGCAGGAAUGGAACGGUGUCACACAUGGAAAGCACAUGCUUGAUUCAGUUCCAUGAAUUCAAUUCCAAUGUCUGGAAAACUAAAGCUCAUCCCACCAGCCUCCUCUGGUUUAUACCCUUUAUACAGUUGUUGGUAAAUG